rnacentral:rRNA from 1 species
UACGUAGGUGGCAAGCGUUGUCCGGAUUUACUGGGCGUAAAGAGCGCGCAGGCGGUCGUUCAAGUCGCGUGUGAAAGCCCCCGGCUCAACUGGGGAGGGUCACGCGAUACUGAUCGACUCGAAGGCAGGAGAGGGAAGUGGAAUCCCCGGUGUAGUGGUGAAGUGCGUAGAUAUCGGGAGGAACACCAGUGGCGAAGGCGACUUCCUGGCCUGUUCUUGACGCUGAGGCGCGAAAGCUAGGGGAGCAAACGGG